rnacentral:rRNA from 1 species
GUGGGGAAUAUUGGACAAUGGGCGAAAGCCUGAUCCAGCCAUGCCGCGUGUGUGAAGAAGGUCUUUGGAUUGUAAAGCACUUUAAGUUGGGAGGAAGGGCAGUAAGUUAAUACCUUGCUGUUUUGACGUUACCGACAGAAUAAGCACCGGCUAACUUCGUGCCAGCAGCCGCGGUAAUACGAAGGGUGCAAGCGUUAAUCGGAAUUACUGGGCGUAAAGCGCGCGUAGGUGGUUUUGUAAGUUGGAGGUGAAAUCCCCGGGCUCAACCUGGGAACUGCCUCCAAAACUGCAUGACUAGAGUACGGUAGAGGGUAGUGGAAUUUCCUGUGUAGCGGUGAAAUGCGUAGAUAUAGGAAGGAACACCAGUGGCGAAGGCGACUACCUGGACUGAUACUGACACUGAGGUGCGAAAGCGUGGGGAGCAAACAGGAUUAGAAACCCGAGUAGUCC